GACGAGCUCUCGGAGGAUGCUGCGGCGCGGGGCGCGUCGCCCCCCUCAGUCUACCAGAGCCCGGAUACCUCAGAAAUUCGGCUCUGGGUCUGUGGGGAGCGAAAUGCAACCCAAACCCCGUUUUUCCGAACCCCGCGCAAAUAAACACGCACAAGCACGCACACAGCCGUCGCCGCGGCCGGCGCUCGUCGCCGCAGGUCCGGGCGGCCCGGGCCGCGAGGGAAGAGCUCAGGCCCGAGAGGGGUCGCCGCCUACGUCUCGCAGCCCGAGGGGCGGCCGCUCGGCCUCGGCCGCUCACAGGCGCGACGUAAAUGCCCGGCGUCAACGGCCCGGCUUAACGGUGCAACGGCCGGCCUGGGCCUGCAACUCUGGGGUCCCGGCCGGGCUGGAGCGGCCGCCGGAGAGACCUGGAACCUAGCUGUAUGUUGUAAGCUGUCCUUUGGAGAGAACACUGUGGCAAGGAACUGAGUGAAGGAGGCCUCUGGCCUACACCCAGUGAAGAAUUAAGGAACUCAGUCUGACAACGUGUGAGGCACUGAGUCCUGCCAACAACUACACAAGUGAGCUUGGAAACAGACCCUCAAUCCAGCCUUCAGUAAAAAUCGAAGGAGCAGAACCAACUAGAGAUUAAAAAUUCUAUUGGAAGUGCUUUGGCUCAAAUCGUGGGAGAAUUCUAAGAAAUUUCCCUCUGGAAGGAUGGCUCAUUUGCACACUUGAGGCUUUCCCGAUGAAUUCCUCAAUUCAGGAAG